CCUACGGGUGGCUGCAGUGAGGAAUAUUGGGCAAUGGGCGCGAGCCUGAACCAGCAAAGUCGCGUGAGGGAAGACGGCCCUACGGGUUGUAAACCUCUUUUGCCGGGGAGCAACGGGCGCCACGUGUGGCGCCACUGAGAGUACCCGGAGAAAAAGCAUCGGCUAACUCCGUGCCAGCAGCCGCGGUAAUAUGGAGGGUGAGCGCGUGAUCCGGAUUUAUUGGGGUAAAAGGGUGCGUAGGCGGAGCGUUAAGUCAGUGGUCAAAUUGAGGGGCUCAACCCCUUCCCGCCAUUGAAACUGGCGCUCUUGAGUGGAAGAGAAGUAUGCGGAAUGCGUGGUGUAGCGGUGAAAUGCAUAGAUAUCACGCAGAACCCCGGUUGCGAAGGCAGCAUGCCGGCUUCCUACUGACGCUGAGGCACGAAAGCGUGGGGAUCGAACAGGAUUAGAUACCCUAGUAGUC
rnacentral:rRNA from 1 species